AGGGGCAGCGGGGUAGUGCUUGCACUACUGCCGGCGACCGGCGCACGGGUGAGUAACACGUAUGGAACCUGCCCGCAGCAGGGGGAUAAGCGGAAGAAAUUCCGUCUAAUACCGCGUAACAACGUUGGGAGGCAUCUCCCGAUGUUUAAAGAUUUAUCGGCUGCGGAUGGCCAUGCGGCGCAUUAGCUAGUCGGCGGGGUAACGGCCCACCGAGGCGACGAUGCGUAGGGGUUCUGAGAGGAAGGUCCCCCACACUGGUACUGAGACACGGACCAGACUCCUACGGGAGGCAGCAGUGAGGAAUAUUGGUCAAUGGCCGAGAGGCUGAACCAGCCAAGUCGCGUGAGGGAAGACGGCCCUACGGGUUGUAAACCUCUUUUGUCGGGGAGCAAAGCGAACCACGUGUGGUUCAUUGAGAGUACCCGAAGAAAAAGCAUCGGCUAACUCCGUGCCAGCAGCCGCGGUAAUACGGAGGAUGCGAGCGUUAUCCGGAUUUAUUGGGUUUAAAGGGUGCGCAGGCGGAGGUGCAAGUCAGCGGUCAAAUUGCGGGGCUCAACCCCGUACUGCCGUUGANACUGCAUCCCUUGAGUGCGCGAGAAGUAUGCGGAAUGCGUGGUGUAGCGGUGAAAUGCAUAGAUAUCACGCAGAACUCCGAUUGGAGAGGGCAGCAUACCGGCGCGCGCAACUGACGGCUCAUGCACGAAAACGUGGGUAUCGAAACAGAUUAAAUACCCCUGGUAGUCCACGCAGUAAACGAUGAACACUAACUGUUCGGCCAGAAUGAUGGCUGAGUGGUACAGCGAAAGCGUUAAGUGUUCCACCUGGGGAGUACGCCGGCAACGGUGAAACUCAAAGGAAUUGACGGGGGCCCGCACAAGCGGAGGAACAUGUGGUUUAAUUCGAUGAUACGCGAGGAACCUUACCCGGGCUCAAACGACACAGGAAUACUUUUGAAAGGAGGUAGCCCUACGGGGUCUGUGUCGAGGUGCUGCAUGGUUGUCGUCAGCUCGUGCCGUGAGGUGUCGGCUUAAGUGCCAUAACGAGCGCAACCCCUAUCGCCAGUUACCAUCAAGUAAAGUUGGGGACUCUGGCGAGACUGCCGGCGCAAGCUGAGAGGAAGGCGGGGAUGACGUCAAAUCAGCACGGCCCUUACGUCCGGGGCGACACACGUGUUACAAUGGCAGGUACAGAGAGAAGCCAGGUGGCGACACCGCGCGGAACUCGAAAGCCUGUCUCAGUUCGGAUCGGAGUCUGCAACCCGACUCCGUGAAGCUGGAUUCGCUAGUAA
rnacentral:rRNA from 1 species